ACUGCCUUAAUCAAUUUUGAUAUGAGUUGACUAUUUUACCCUUCAAACAAUUCUGAUGAUAUCUUCUUCGUCUGAUAUCCGAAUGACACAUUCAAGUAGUCCAUUUCGCAUAACUUUUCGAGUUCUAUAUAACGGUUAUGCGAAUUCCAAGGCCGUUAUUGAUUUGUUUUACAAAGUUGUUUACUCUUACACAUCAACUAAAUUAAGAAGCUUUGCGGGGAAUGCAUGCAAUUGGAUGUGGACAUGUUGCUAAUUAUAUCAGGACUAUUCCAAAGGAGAAAUGGGCAAAUGAAUUUUUCCAUGUACACAGAUAUAAUACUCACUUUUCAACUAUUUCUGAGUCAUUUAAUAACUGUAUUGUUGAUCUCAAAAAGUUGUCUGCUUUUGCUCUUCUCGAUGCGCUACAGAGAGUUUGAUGUUUAGUGUUUCAUUCAUUUUUUUUGAUGUGUACAUCUUCCCUUGUACACAUGUUUAUUUGUAUACAUUGUUGUACACAUGGAUUUGCUUGAUGUGUACAUACUUGUGUGCAUGUUUUAUCUGUGAUUCUGCAACGAUGUGUGUACAUUGUUGUACACAUGGAUUUCCUUAAUGUGUACAUUUUUGUACACAUGUUUAUCUGUAUUCCUUCUCGAUCAUUUUUUUAUUUAA